rnacentral:lncRNA from 1 species
AACAACCUACACCAUACGACCAAAAUAUAAUAACUAAAUUAAGUAUUGAUUAUAACUAAUUAAAACACAAUUUCUUGUAAUCAAUUUACAGAUUGAAUUCCACCUUGAAAUGAAAAUAAGCCAUGGAAUGAUCGAUCUAAUUAGGUAUAUAGCAAAUUGCUGGACGUCCUUCACAAUAUGUAAUGGAUCAUGUAUUUUAUCAAUUCAGCAUCAUAAGCAUUAAUUUUCCUUGUCAGCUUUUAGUAUGAUAUUAUUUUUUUUU